CAGAGAAAGGGAAAUUGCUACACAAAGACAAAAAUCCCCAGGAAGAAAUAAGCAGCAUCCCUCUCGAUGACCCCUGUGCCUAGAAUAUAGCAGACUCGUAAACACUUAUGAAAGGAAACUCAGUGUGACUUUUAGAUUGAAUUCUAAUUUCAAGACAACUCCUCAAACAAUUCGCCACAGAACAGACCAUUAGAGUUAUGUGAUAAGAUACCAUGAUCAGAAACAAUUUACAGAAAGAAGAGUCUUGGGUUCCAGAGAGAGUCCAUGAUGUCUGAGAGAGGCUUGGCAACAUGGGCCCAGAAAAGGAAGCUGAGAGAUUACAUCUUCAACUGCAAGCAUGGUACAGAGAGCAAACUGGAAGUGCAUUGAGGCUGUGAACUCUCGGAGACCUCCUAAAACGAUUUCCAUCCUCCAGCAAGGCCAUAAAUACCACAUCCCUCAUCAUGUCGUCAAAUGGGAAUCAAGUGCUUCAAUACAAAAGCCUAUGGAGGACAUUCAUAUUUAAACCACUGUAUUCAACAUGCCCAGAGCCUUCUUUAUUAGCUGCUUUCUAGAACUGCCACACUAUUGUUCACACACACACACACACACACACACACACACACACACACACACACCACAAUGUGUCUAUAUAUAUACAUGAAAGAGAAAACACUGUAAGACGGUUCUGGGGAUGGUGACACCUUCCUUUAAUUCCAGCACUUGGGAGGUAGAGGCAGGCAGCUCUCUGAGUUCAAGACUAUCCUGGUCUAUAUCCAGGACACCCAGGACUAUACAAAAAAAAAAAAAAAAAGAGGGAGUAGGGAGAGGUGAGGAGAGAACACAUUUAAAAGCCUUGAUUAAACAAUUUAGUUUCCUAAGUACAGUUUUCUAGUUUUAAUUAAUAUACAAAAAACAGACUAUCAAAAGUGGGUACAUUUAUAUCUGAUUUUCCAUCAGCACCAUAUAAAUGUUUUCAUCAUGUAUAGCAGGACUGCUUAUUUGAUACCCAAGUAGACACAGCUAAUGAGUGUAGAUAGAUAGAUAGAUAGAUAGAUAGAUAGAUAGAUAGGCAGAUAGAUAGAUAGAUAGAUAGAUAGAUAGAUAGAUAGAUAGAUAGAUAGAUAGAUAGGCAGGCAGGCAGGCAGGCAGGCAGGCAGGCAGGCAGGCAGGCAGGCAGAUAGAUAGAUAGAGAUAGGCAGAUAGAUAGGCAGAUAGAUAGAUAGAUAGAUAGAUAGAUAGAUAGAUAGAUAGAUAGAUAGGCAGAUAGAUAGAUAGAUAGAUAGAUAGAUAGAUAGAUAGAUAGAUAGAUAGAUAGAUAGGCAGGCAGGCAGGCAGGCAGGCAGGCAGGCAGGCAGAUAGAUAGAUAGAGAUAGGCAGAUAGAUAGGCAGAUAGAUAGAUAGAUAGAUAGAUAGAUAGAUAGAUAGAUAGAUAGAUAGAAAGAUAAUAGAUAGAUAGAUAGAUAGAUAGAUAGAUAGAUAGAUAGAUAGAUAGAUAGAUGUUUUUAGGACAUGCUGGUUUCUCUGAUGUAAGCUGUUUAUGAAUUUUUUUAAAAAAAAAAGAAUCUCAAUGCCUUCUUUUAAGGAACUUAUAUUCUCUCAGGCAUGAUAGGUUAAUGAAAUACAAUAGUCACAUCAGUAACAAUUAUUAGUGUACAACCAAUGACCUGCUCUUUGUGAAGGCUCUGAAGAAACAGAAUAUCAAGGCUUCCCAGAGAAGGAGAGCAACAUAGCUGAUGGUGGAGCAUGAGCAGGAGACACCACUCACUGCUAGGCAAAUUGCUAUCAAACAGAAGGAUGGUAUGCCCAAUGGCCAACAGCGAGACUCACCCAGUGAGCUACAGAAUCCAUGGCUGUGAUGUGCACUAGGGUAAUUAGGGGUCCAUAGAAGAGAGACAAACUACAGGACAUAUGGACUUGAGAAAUGACACUUCUUUAUGAAUGUUGUUGAAAGCCAUUAAGGAAGAAAUCAGAGUGUGACAUAAACAGAUUCAUGUCUUGGUUAAUAACUCAGUGUUGCUCAUUGAGAAAAUACUGGUGCCACAAUCAGAGACUAUCCGACUUUGGCAUCCAAAGUAAAUCUCCCCUGCAUGUGCUCAGGCAAUACCCACACCUUCCUACUUUCGUUAUAGGUAACAAACUGACACAGACUGGGUUCAAGAAGAUGAGCUAUGGGGCUGGGGUAAUAAUUCAAGCAUGUGAUGUGGUCCUUAGCAAGGGUGGCGUGGUUCUAGGAGCUUGUCAUUUCCACUGAGAAUUAAAGUUCUGUUUAGUUUCCUGCUGAUGACCUGAUUUUCAAUCUUGGCCAUGUUCCUUCCUGUAUUUCUGAUGUGACCAUCUUCUAAGGGCCAUCCUUACACUGUGCAAAGAGCUUUGAAUGUAUGCUAAUUCUUACUGCCACACCACAGGGUAUAUAGCAUAGGGUCCUCAUUCCUGAUAGAACCACCAAAAAAAAAAAAAACAUGGAAUUUAAUGGAAUUAAUCUACUUUUGCCAAAUUCACAGAGAUUAAGUGCAAGUAAGUGCAUAGAUUAUACACUUAGGACUACUUAAUUAGUAUUCAUGCUCUAUUGAGUAAAUGCUUUGCAAUAUCUCUGAGAAGAUUUGGCUUAUCUCUAGUUUUCAUUCUUUCAUAAACAAUGCUCUAAGGCACACUUUUUAGCCUAAGUGUGAGACAGAGUUUCUUAGAGGGAAGUUUAUAGAUAUGAUUGAUGGUCAUCUUAGAGACAUGCUACCAUGUUGAGGAAGAAUACAUCAGUUCUAUUUUAGGGCCUAUUCUCAGCAUCAGUGGUGUUGGAGUCUGUGCUUAGCCUCUGUUGUAUAUGGGGAAAGGAACCAAGUCUGUUAUUGUACCUUUAUUUAUAUAAUGGACUCUUAAUGUGUUUUCCUAAUAUUAAACCCUCUCCAUAUAACUGGAGUAAACCUCACUGGUUAAUACGUCUUUAAGUACCAAUGGAAUCUGAUAUAUAACAUUUAAUUUUAUUUAGAAC
rnacentral:lncRNA from 1 species